rnacentral:rRNA from 1 species
CACUAUCAUUAACUGAAUCCAUAGGUUAAUGAGGCGAACCGGGGGAACUGAAACAUCUAAGUACCCCGAGGAAAAGAAAUCAACCGAGAUUCCCCCAGUAGCGGCGAGCGAACGGGGAGGAGCCCAGAGCCUGAAUCAGUGUGUGUGUUAGUGGAAGCGUCUGGAAAGGCGCGCGAUACAGGGUGACAGCCCCGUACACAAAAAUGCACAUAUUGUGAGCUCGAUGAGUAGGGCGGGACACGUGGUAUCCUGUCUGAAUAUGGGGGGACCAUCCUCCAAGGCUAAAUACUCCUGACUGACCGAUAGUGAACCAGUACCGUGAGGGAAAGGCGAAAAGAACCCCGGCGAGGGGAGUGAAAAAGAACCUGAAACCGUGUACGUACAAGCAGUGGGAGCCUCUUUAUGGGGUGACUGCGUACCUUUUGUAUAAUGGGUCAGCGACUUAUAUUCUGUAGCAAGGUUAACCGAAUAGGGGAGCCGAAGGGAAACCGAGUCUUAACUGGGCGUUAAGUUGCAGGGUAUAGACCCGAAACCCGGUGAUCUAGCCAUGGGCAGGUUGAAGGUUGGGUAACACUAACUGGAGGACCGAACCGACUAAUGUUGAAAAAUUAGCGGAUGACUUGUGGCUGGGGGUGAAAGGCCAAUCAAACCGGGAGAUAGCUGGUUCUCCCCGAAAGCUAUUUAGGUAGCGCCUCGUGAAUUCAUCUCCGGGGGUAGAGCACUGUUUCGGCAAGGGGGUCAUCCCGACUUACCAACCCGAUGCAAACUGCGAAUACCGGAG